AUUGAACGCUGGCGGCAUGCUUUACACAUGCAAGUCGAACGGUAACAGGGAGCUUGCUCCGCUGACGAGUGGCGAACGGGUGAGUAAUAUAUCGGAACGUACCCAAGAGUGGGGGAUAACGUAGCGAAAGUUACGCUAAUACCGCAUACGAUCUAAGGAUGAAAGCAGGGGAUCUUCGGACCUUGUGCUCCUGGAGCGGCCGAUAUCUGAUUAGCUAGUUGGUGAGGUAAAGGCUCACCAAGGCGACGAUCAGUAGCUGGUCUGAGAGGACGACCAGCCACACUGGAACUGAGACACGGUCCAGACUCCUACGGGAGGCAGCAGUGGGGAAUUUUGGACAAUGGGCGCAAGCCUGAUCCAGCAAUGCCGCGUGAGUGAAGAAGGCCUUCGGGUUGUAAAGCUCUUUUGUCAGGGAAGAAACGGGAGUGGCUAAUAUCCAAUCCUAAUGACGGUACCUGAAGAAUAAGCACCGGCUAACUACGUGCCAGCAGCCGCCGUAAUAC
rnacentral:rRNA from 1 species